ACAGUAGGUCGGUUUGUCGCUUCCCGCAAUUACGGGAGGAGGAAAGUCCGGGCAACAAAGAGCACCAUAUUUCCUAACGGGAAGUUGUCAGCAAUGGCAAAGUAACGUAACAGAAAACAACCGCUCUGAUUUCGGUCGGGGUAAGGGUGAAAAGGUGAGGUAAAAGCUCACCGGUCUGUGUGGCAACAUGCAGAGCCGUACGUCUUAUGGGUUGCAAGAUCAAGUAAACCGGCGCAGUAGGGCUGCUCGUCCGAUGCCGGAGGGUAGAUUGCUCAGAUUUCGUCAGUGAUGGCGAAACCAGAUAAAUGACAAACAUCCGUCAGCUGACGGUUACAGAACCCGGCUUAUAGACCUGCUGUUUAC
rnacentral:RNase_P_RNA from 1 species